AUUAAGACUGAGGUUCAGGACAAAAACUCAUUGUCUGUGUAACCUAAACUAUGACAAUACAUUCAGAAAAUGCCCAUGGAAGAGGUGGAAAAACAGUAUCAUAAUGAUGCAGCUGAAUUUACUGGGUGAUUCAAGGUAGUAGGAGAUUGAAAAGAUAAGUGGUUGACACGUUUGCAAAAAGGACCUUUCCUUACUGCUUGGGUAAAACUGUUGUUGUGUGGGUAUGAUAAAUAUCUAUAGCAUCGAGCAAAGCAAAAGGAGUUCCCCUAUUCCAUGGAAUUUAUAUUCAGGAGUUUUAAAAGCUGCAUCGCUCAACUCAUAAAACACAGAGAGGAUAGGAUUCAAACUACUAGAAAGAACAAUGAAUGCUGUUUUAGGCUUCAUUUUGUUGGUCUCACUGAUUGCAGAAUGUCACUCUGCUUCAAUCCCUCAAACAGAGUUUGACAUAGAAUUUAAAGAAAUAGGCGAAAUGUUAACAAUAUUAGAGAAAUCAGACAAGGUAAGUUGAUGUAAUACAAUUGUUCUAUCCUAGCCAGAUAUACAUAAAAACAUGUUUAAUGAAUGAUAUUUUAAGAAGUAUUUAACAUAUUGAACUGUAUUUGUUUCAUAGAUGUGUCCAAGUGACUGCCAAGAGACAAAUGAGACUGAAUGCAAGUGUGUCUACCUACCCAACACAACUGGCUGCACUAAUUAUCAAUAUAUUGAACAAGGACUGAAAACUUUAAACUUACACUGUGUUUUUUCCAACAUCAUGACACAAAAAAUAUGCCAAGUGCUUGAAAGGUUGAAGGAUAUUGUGAAGGAUGAGACAAGUAUGUGUGUUACACCAAUGGCCCCGAAAGAUUUUUUGCGCCAAAUUAAAAUUGAGCACCAAAAAUAUAAAAGUCAGCAAAGAAGUAGCUAAUUCCAUUAGAACGAUUACAAUUAAUACUAUUUAUUUGUUGUAUUUUCUUUAUAUUAUUUAUUUUAGUUUUUGUGACCAGGCAUCCAUGACAGCCCUAGCUGUGGAUUACUGGAACAUUUAACUAUUGUAUUUUAUUGUAUUGCACUGUUCUGUGUUCAACUCUGUUCCUUUUCUCUGGGUA